UCCUCGCUUGCAGGGCGAGAGGGAGGUGUGCGGCCGGGAUGAGACCUGUCACCGGGCCAGCAAGGGGUGUCACGAGGCGGGGAUUGUCGGGGUCCGUGAACCGCGGCUCGGGGACUCCGCUCAGGUCCUUUGUCCCCGCCGCGUCCCGACUUUCUGCAUCGGCUCGCACCCGCGGCCCCCCGAGCCGGGUCUCCUCCCGGCCUUCCCGCGGCUCGCGGUGGGGGGGCGCUCACGGCCGCGCGUGUCGCCGGCGCGUCCCAGCCCCGCCCGCCCGAGGGAUCCCCGGCACCGCGGGAGCGCGGCGCAGCUCUCGGCACGCUGCGGGGCCCGGCACCGGCGGCCAGGGGAACGGCUAUUUUUAGAGCAAAUGGAAGAAAAGGGGAGGAAAAAAUGCAAAAGCCAAAAUAACAACAACAAGGAAAAAUGACGGAGGCUCCUGGAGGCCUGGGGGCUUCCAGCAGGAAAUACCCCUGCCUGUGCCCGAGGCGGAAGGACCUUCCAGCCUGCGCCGCGUCACCAGCUGCGGGAGUCUCCAGGCGUCCCUCCCCUUGACCCUCCCCUGCCCCGGACUCGGUCCCGGCGAAGCGCAGUCCCCGGGGGGAGGCCACGCUGCUGCGCCUGGCUGGGCUGAGGGGCAGGGAUUCCCUGUCCCUGGCGUAGCCUCAGUUUCCCCGUCUGCAAACUGAGCGCUUCAGGCCAGCGGCCGCCGAGGUGGCGCCAGCCCUUGGACUGGGUCGCUGUCUUCGACCUCGGCGAGGAGCGCGCGGGGAGCCGGAGGUACCUACCGUGCCCAGCGGCCCGGGGCAGGGGUCCGCGCUGCGGCGGCGCGCACACCUCGGUUCUCACGCCCUCGUCUGGCCGCCGGUCGGGCCGGGACGCAGAGGCUCCAGCAGCUGAGGCCGGAGACUGCUGGUGCAGAAAGGAAAGCCGCAGUUGGAGCUGUUCCACUGCUGAGGGCUACUCCACGGACUGAAGAGCACGGGCCUCAGGUUAGUGCCUUCAAGAGCCCCUGGAA